CCUACGGGAGGCAGCAGUGAGGAAUAUUGCUCAAUGGACGAAAGCCUGAUCCAGCGAAGUCGCGUGAGUGAUGAAGGAUUUCGGGAUGUAAAGCUCUGUUAUCAGGGAAGAAAAUUACGGUACCUUACCGAUUAGUCCGGGCUAACUACGUGCAAGCCGGCGCGGUACGUCGUAGGGGGCGAGGUUUAUCCGGAUUUAAUGGGUGUAAAGGGAGCGUAGACGGGAGGGGAAGUCUGGAGUGAAAGGCGGGGGCUCAACCCAAGGAUUGCUGUGGAAACUGCAAGGCUGGAGUGCAGGAGAGGUAAGUGGAAUGCGUAGUGUAGCGGUGAAAUGCGUAGAGAUCAAGAGGAAUUCUCAUUGCGAAGGCGACCUGCUAGACCAUAACUGACGCUGAUGCGCGAAAGCGUGGGGAGCAAACAGGAUUAGAUACCCGAGUAGUC
rnacentral:rRNA from 1 species